GGACGAUUAGCUCAGCUGGUAGAGCAAUUGACUCUUAAUCAAUGGGCCCAGGGUUCGAGUCCCUGAUCGUCCACCA
rnacentral:tRNA from 2 species